rnacentral:pre_miRNA from 1 species
ACAAGCAUCGCCUGGGAAUCUUGUUAAAAAGCAGAUUCUGAUACAGUAGAACCGGGUGGGGCUGAGAGUCUGUAUAUCUGACAGGCCCCCAGGAGAUGCUUAU